CCUCUCUCUCCUGCAGCUGAACAUCAACCACCCUCACCCCCACAAUCCCCAUCAUCUAUCUGCAGUGAGCAGGCGUCCCUCUCCAAACCAGUCUUCGUACUGUGUUCUCCCUUCAAAACAGCAGCCAGGCUUUCCAUUACGUGUCAGCAUGCUGUCAGAGCCUACCUCUUUCAGAGAGAUUAUUUUUCCCUUUCAUAUCUGAAAGUGUGCAGCCAUAUCUAAUAAUACCGUAUCCAAUUGAUCUUGGGGAAAAUGUAGCACUUCAUUGGUGGAAAAACAACAACAACAAAUAAAAAACAAAUCAUGUCCUCUAUCCACAAUGUCAACACCGGAAUCUCUAAUCCUAUUUUUUCCUUUACUGUAAUUAAAAGUUCUGUCAUUUUUUUUGUGAAGCUUCACACAGAAUUGAGUGUGGCAGGUGAGAAUUUUGAGGGGCAACCGCCGAGGCAUCUUGAAAUGCAACGUACCCUGACUACUUCUAACCUCUUCUCCCACAUGAGAAGCUGGGAAGGUGUUACAGACAUACAGGCCAUUUCCUGCUGAGAGACGAUGUGGAAGAAGCACACCUCACCUGCGAAAAAGGCCAGAGAGAAGUCCAACAUUUGAUUUUUGGCGAGGUGUAAGCUACGUCGGUGAAGGACGAGGCCAUGUAAAAUUAAUAAGUGGGCAGAAUGAGACCUACACACUGUUGGGGAGAAAUUCAAACCUGAUCAGCUGUGCGUAGGUGUUAGUUAGGGCAACUGGCAACACCUGAGGGCCCACAAGGUUGCUGGGUUGUUAAAGGCCGGGCUGCAGCUGUGGCAGUCUCUCUCACUCUCCUCUGACUGCUUGUGGCUGCUGCUGUUAUUUGCAGCUCUCUGCUCUCCCCUCCAGAUACCCGUGCUGGUUCAGUUUAGUUAUGUUGCCUUAGUUAUUUCUCUUGCUUUUAUGCACCAUCCAACACCUAUACGCACACGCUCUCCACUCAUACAUCACACACUUUGCCCUGAUCCUACUG